rnacentral:misc_RNA from 1 species
GUGAGUCAUCGAAUCUUUGAACGCACAUUGCGCCCGCCAGCAUUCUGGCGGGCAUGCCUGUUCGAGCGUCAUUUCAACCCUCGAGCUCCCCUUGGGGAGCCCGGCGUUGGGGACCGGCACUCACACUGCCGGCCCCGAAAUGGAGUGGCGGCCCCGUCCGCGGCGACCUCUGCGUAGUAACUCAACCUCGCAUCGGGACCCGGGCGCGGCCACGCCGUAAAACCCCCCACUUUCUGAACGUUGACCUCGAAUCAGGUAGGAAUACCCGCUGAACUUAAGCAUAUCAAUAAGCGGAGGA